CUCUGUGCGUGUGGGUGUGUGUGUGUGUGUGUGUGUCUGCUCUGUGCUCUUCUGCCCGAUCCGACGUGUGUGUCUUUCGGUUGCUUGCUUGGGUUUAUUUCGUUUCGCCGGUGCUUCUCCGUUCUCGUCGGUCCCGCGCUCCACGUCUACCGACGCGCGGCUCCGGAGUGUGGCCGUGGGCUCCUGUCACCGAGAGCCGGGACGCGGGCUUUAAACCCUCCGCAGUCACACGAAACACACACACACACACACACACUCAGACACACACCGACACACACACACACUCAGACACACACACACACGCAAGCGAUCGAUGUACGUGUGACUCCGCGCCGGGAAUCGACUGAACGGCGCUACAAAGCAAAAGGCGCCCGACGGCAGCACAAAAUAAAAGGAAAUGUGAGCAAAGUGUCCGCGUGGAAGUGGCGGCGGAGCGGAGAGGAGCGGGGAACCGCCGCGGAAAGUGAAAGUGCAGUAGCAGCAGCAGGGCAGCGGAACACGGACGGACGCGGGAUGGACGGUGGAGGAACGCGAGGACGAGCCGAGCCGAGCCAAGGAGCCCACGGGGCGGUGUUCUCCCCCCCGGCCGGUCUCUGGCCGACCCGCGGGCUGGUCUACGGCGAUCUUUGGGCGGCCGCGCUGCUCCCAGCGCGCUCCCCUCCCUCCGACACUAUCGCGAAGAGCGCUCUGUCACCGGCUCUCUGGCUCUCUGGCUCCUGUCCUUUGCGCAGCGAUUCCCGGCACAAAGCACCAGCUGGUCGGUGUGUGAGGACGAAGCCCGAUGUAAACACAGGUGCACGCGCUUCAGGCAGCAGGCAUCUCCAGCGAGGCACGUGCGGAUGUACCUGUUCGGACGGAAGGCAUUUCGGCAUGGACCGUGCAGGAAACGUUGUGUGUGAGUGUGUGUGACAGGGGUGAGCAAUCGGCGUGAUGAUGAAGCGCUGAUGUGAGCUGUACGCUGGAGUGACUCCGCACUCCGCGUCACUCCUGCGCGCUCAUCAUCACACCUCAGCUGAUCACACAAACACUCCAGGAGUCACACCUCCAUUUUCACUUUUUAUUUUUUAUUUAUUUGUUUUUAUCCGGGAGCUCACGGGUGGCGGAAGAUAAACACGACACAAAUGCAGAAUGUACAGUUUAACAGUAGAAGCGGCGCGGAGCAGAACGUUUGUGUAACUUGAUUGAACCCACGUGGACAGGUGACCCUGAAAAAUACGAGUCCUAAAUGUAAAUGUAAUUUCGGAUUUCAGAAAUAUGAUCUCCGCUGGUUGGUUGUUCGAGCGUCGGAGUUUACGUGGGAGGAAGUGUCCUAUCUCUGAAAAAUUCGGUAAAAAAGCCAAGAAGAAAAUCAAGAUGAAUAUAUUUAAAUUCCGCGAUGUACAUUUGAUUAAGUUCUGAGCUGUAUUUUUUUUUUUCAUUACAUUGACUUAUCAGUCACUAUGCAUCAAGACAUUCACUGACUGCCGCCAAAAUAUGAUACAUACAACGCAAAGGGAGUGUGUCUGCGGUGCCGUGCGCGUGUUUCAUUCCACGCCGGUCUCGUGCGCGCGGCGCGCGGCCUGCCUUUCGAAGGAAAACGCAGAAGAUGUGAAAUCAUUUGCAGAUGAAGCUGCAGUCCGGUAAUGUUUCCCAAGUUUGACAGAAAAAAAGGGAAAAAUGAUGCUGGACGUUUUAGCCUGGCGAAUUUUAGGAUUUUGCAGCAUGAUUGCCGGUGAGGGAAGCUGAUUUUGAACGAAGCGCAAAUGCAAACGGGGAAAAAAGUUGCAUUUUCAAUAAACAAGCGGUUGUCUCAUCCGCA
ensembl:lncRNA